AGAGGGUGACAUUCCCGUACGCGGCAUUAAGUACUAGUCACGAUGCGUUUUCCAUGAGUCGGGUUGCUUGGGAAUGCAGCCCAAAAUGGGAGGUAAACUCCUUCUAAAGCUAAAUAUUGGCACGAGACCGAUAGCGAACAAGUACCGUGAGGGAAAGAUGAAAAGCACUUUUAAAAGAAAGUUAAUAGUACGUGAAACCGUUAAAAGGGAAGCGCAUGGAAUUAGCAAUGCAUUAUGGAGAUUCAGGUUGUCAGUANGAGUUACUUGUGUUUAGUUGAUCUGAAUGGACUGCUUGCUCAGGUCUUCUCUUACUGGCUAUCGCACUUCUCUAUAAUGUGCGUCAACAAAUGUUGUGAUUGGACGAAAAGCCCUGCGAGAAGGUAGCUGUGCUUUCGGGUGCAGUGUUANAGCUCGUGGUNGCAAGUUCAAGUUCGACAGAGGAGUUGCGGCAUAUGCUCUUUUAGGGCUGGCCUCUCCUUCUUCCUGCARUUARUCAASUAAGGC
rnacentral:rRNA from 1 species